AACGAGCGCUGGCGGCAUGCCUAACACAUGCAAGUCGAACGAGACCUUCGGGUCUAGUGGCGCACGGGUGCGUAACGCGUGGGAACCUGCCCUUAGGCUCGGAAUAACUCCCCGAAAGGGGUGCUAAUACCGGAUAAUUUCUUCGGACCAAAGAUUUAGCGCCUUUGGAUGGGCCCGCGUUGGAUUAGCUAGUUGGUAGGGUAAAGGCCUACCAAGGCGACGAUCCAUAGCUGGUCUGAGAGGAUGAUCAGCCACACUGGGACUGAGACACGGCCCAGACUCCUACGGGAGGCAGCAGUGGGGAAUCUUGGACAAAGGGCGCAAGCCUGAUCCAGCAAUGCCGCGUGAGUGAUGAAGGCCUUAGGGUUGUAAAGCUCUUUUACCCGGGAUGAUAAUGACAGUACCGGGAGAAUAAGCUCCGGCUAACUCCGUG
rnacentral:rRNA from 1 species